UACGUAGGGGGCAAGCGUUAUCCGGAAUUACUGGGUGUAAAGGGAGCGUAGACGGUGAUGUAAGUCUGGAGUGAAAGGCGGGGGCCCAACCCCCGGACUGCUCUGGAAACUAUGUGACUGGAGUGCAGGAGAGGUGAGCGGAAUUCCUAGUGUAGCGGUGAAAUGCGUAGAUAUUAGGAGGAACACCAGUGGCGAAGGCGGUCUGCUGGACAGCAACUGACGGUGAGGCGCGAAAGCGUGGGGAGCAAACAGG
rnacentral:rRNA from 1 species